UACGUAGGGGGCGAGCGUUGUCCGGAAUUACUGGGCGUAAAGGGUUCGCAGGCGGCAUGGCAAGUCCGAUGUAAAAGGCGAAAGCUCAACUUUCGUAAGCAUCGGAAACUGUCAAGCUUGAGUGCAGGAGAGGUAAGUGGAAUUCCUAGUGUAGCGGUGGAAUGCGUAGAUAUUAGGAGGAAUACCAGUGGCGAAGGCGACUUUCUGGCAAUCAUCAGACGCUGAGGUACGAAAGCGUGGGUAGCAAACAGG
rnacentral:rRNA from 1 species